AUUGAACGCUGGCGGCAGGCCUAACACAUGCAAGUCGAGCGGUAGAGAGAAGCUUGCUUCUCUUGAGAGCGGCGGACGGGUGAGUAAUGCCUAGGAAUCUGCCUGGUAGUGGGGGAUAACGUUCGGAAACGGACGCUAAUACCGCAUACGUCCUACGGGAGAAACCCGGGGACCUUCGGGCCUUGCGCUUCCAGAUGAGCCUAGGUCGGAUUAGCUAGUUGGUGGGGUAAUGGCUCACCAAGGCGACGAUCCGUAACUGGUCUGAGAGGAUGAUCAGUCACACUGGAACUGAGACACGGUCCAGACUCCUACGGGAGGCAGCAGUGGGGAAUAUUGGACAAUGGGCGAAAGCCUGAUCCAGCCAUGCCGCGUGUGUGAAGAAGGUCUUCGGAUUGUAAAGCACUUUAAGUUGGGAGGAAGGGCAGUAAAUUAAUACUUUGCUGUUUUGACGUUACCGACAGAAUAAGCACCGGCUAACUCUGUG
rnacentral:rRNA from 1 species